rnacentral:rRNA from 1 species
AGCGAACGCUGGCGGCAGGCCUAACACAUGCAAGUCGAACGGAUCCUUCGGGAUUAGUGGCGGACGGGUGAGUAACACGUGGGAACGUGCCCUUUGGUUCGGAACAACUCAGGGAAACUUGAGCUAAUACCGGAUGUGCCCUUCGGGGGAAAGAUUUAUCGCCAUUGGAGCGGCCCGCGUCUGAUUAGCUAGUUGGUGAGGUAACGGCCGACCAAGGCGACGAUCAGUAGCUGGUCUGAGAGGAUGAUCAGCCACACUGGGACUGAGACACGGCCCAGACUCCUACGGGAGGCAGCAGUGGGGAAUCUUGCGCAAUGGGCGAAAGCCUGACGCAGCCAUGCCGCGUGAAUGAUGAAGGUCUUAGGAUUGUAAAAUUCUUUCAGCGGGGACGAUAAUGACGGUACCCGCAGAAGAAGCUCCGGCUAACUUCGUG